rnacentral:piRNA from 1 species
UAACCCAAUUUUGAGUUUCUUGCAUUCCUG